GACGAACGCUGGCGGCGUGCUUAACACAUGCAAGUCGAACGGAAAGGCCCUGCUUUUGUGGGGUGCUCGAGUGGCGAACGGGUGAGUAACACGUUAGUAACCUGCCCUUGACUUUGGGAUAACUUCAUGAAACUGGGGCUAAUACCGGAUAGGAGCUCCUGCUGCAUGGUGGGGGUUGGAAAGUUUCGGCGGUUGGGGAUGGACUCGCGGCUUAUCAGCUUGUUGGUGGGGUAGUGGAUUACCAAGGCUUUGACGGGUAGCCGUCCUGGGAGGGUGACCGGACAAAUUGGGACGGAGAUACGGCACAGACUACUAUGGGAGGCAGGAGUGGGGAAUAUUGCACAAUGGGCGGAAGGAUGAUGCAGCAAAGCCGCGUGCGGGAUGACGGCAUUCGGGUUGGAAACCGAAUUCGCCUGUGACGAAGCGUGAGUGACGGUAAUGGGUAAAGAAGCACCGGCUAACUACGUG
rnacentral:rRNA from 1 species